GUAUUGACCUGGCAGGGGAGUGACGGUGAUCACAAGGCUGUUCUCCCGGGCUGAGACUCGCCCACUGCACCACGGAAGUGCUGACGCCUGCCGUGUCCCAAAUGUGGGACACUCGACUCUAAAAUGUGUGGUGGCGGGGACUGUGUUCGCGCUCUCCUUGA